CUCCUACGGGAGGCAGCAGUGGGGAAUUUUGGACAAUGGGGGCAACCCUGAUCCAGCCAUGCCGCGUGAGUGAAGAAGGCCUUCGGGUUGUAAAGCUCUUUCGGCCGGAACGAAAUCGUGUACGUGAAUAACGUGCGCGGAUGACGGUACUGGAAGAAGAAGCACCGGCUAACUACGUGCCAGCAGCCGCGGUAAUACGUAGGGUGCGAGCGUUAAUCGGAAUUACUGGGCGUAAAGCGUGCGUAGGCGGUUUUGUAAGUCAGAUGUGAAAUCCCCGGGCUUAACCUGGGAACUGCGUUUGAAACUACAGAGCUAGAGUGUGGCAGAGGGGGGUGGAAUUCCACGUGUAGCAGUGAAAUGCGUAGAUAUGUGGAGGAACACCGAUGGCGAAGGCAGCCUCCUGGGAUAACACUGACGCUCAUGCACGAAAGCGUGGGGAGCAAACAGGAUUAGAUACCCUGGUAGUCCACGCCCUAAACGAUGUCAACUGGUUGUUGGGGAAGCAAUUCCUUAGUGACGAAGCUAACGCGAGAAGUUGACCGCCUGGGGAGUACGGUCGCAAGAUUAAAACUCAAAGGAAUUGACGG
rnacentral:rRNA from 1 species